rnacentral:rRNA from 1 species
UACGAAGGGGGCUAGCGUUGCUCGGAUUGACUGGGCGUAAAGGGCGCGUAGGCGGUUCGUACAGUCAGACGUGAAAUUCCUGGGCUCAACCUGGGGGCUGCGUUUGAUACGUGCGGACUUGAGUGCGGAAGAGGGUCGUGGAAUUCCCAGUGUAGUGGUGAAAUGCGUAGAGAUCGGGAGGAACACCAGUGGCGAAGGCGGCCGGCUGGGGGUGACCUGACGCUGAGGCGCGAAAGCGUGGGGAGCGAACCGG